GAAUCCGCUAAGGAGUGUGUAACAACUCACCUGCCGAAUGAACUAGCCCUGAAAAUGGAUGACGCUUAAGCGGAUUGCCGACACCAGACCGUUUUGGUAAGAAGCGACCAGAAUGAGUAGGAGGGCGUGGCGGUUUUGUUGAGAAGGAUGAGACGCAAGUCUAUCUGAAACGGCCGCUAGUGCAGAUCUUGGUGGUAGUAGCAAAUAUUCAAGCGAGAUCCUUGAAGGGCGAAGCGGGGAAGGGUUCCACGCGAACAUUGAUUGGGCGUGGGUGAGUCGUUCCUAAGCCGGGUGGUAAUCGUUCUUCGAUCGGCGAAAGGGAAGCGGGUUAAAAUUCUCGCACACGGAUGUGGAAGCGGUGACGCAAAUUGAGGUGGAGACGUUAGCGAUGGCACUGGGCAGAGUUGUCUUUUCUGUUUAACCUGUGAGUGCACUCUGUGGAAUCCGAUUAUCGGGAGAAACAGGUGCUUAUGGGAAGAGCGUCGGGGCGUCCCCGGCGUCCAGUACGCCAUCGAUAGCCCCUGAAAAUCCAUCUGCAAUGAAAUUUCACGCCGUGGCGUACCGAUAACCGCAUCAGGUCCCCAAGGUGAACAGCCUCUGCUCAAUAUGAACAAUGCAGGUAAGGGAAGUCGGCA
rnacentral:rRNA from 1 species